GUGCCAGCAGCCGCGGUAAUACGUAGGCAGCAAGCGUUGUUCGGAGUUACUGGGCGUAAAGGGUGCGUAGGCGGUUCCCUAAGUUUGGUGUGAAAUCUCCCGGCUUAACUGGGAGGGUGCGCCGAAAACUGGGGAGCUAGAGUGUGGGAGAGGUGAGUGGAAUUCCUGGUGUAGCGGUGAAAUGCGUAGAUAUCAGGAGGAACACCGGUGGUGUAGACGGCUCACUGGACCAUUACUGACGCUGAGGCACGAAAGCGUGGGUAGCAAACAGGAUUAGAUACCCUUGUAGUCC
rnacentral:rRNA from 1 species